UACGGAGGGUGCGAGCGUUAAUCGGAAUUACUGGGCGUAAAGCGCACGUAGGCGGUGGCGUGAGUCGGAUGUGAAAGCCCCGGGCUUAACCUGGGAAUUGCAUUCGAUACCGCGUCGCUAGAGUUUGGGAGAGGGAAGGGGAAUUCCGGGCGUAGCGGUGAAAUGCGUAGAUAUCCGGAGGAACACCAGUGGCGAAGGCGCCUUCCUGGCCUAAGACUGACGCUGAGGUGCGAAAGCGUGGGGAGCAAACAGG
rnacentral:rRNA from 1 species